rnacentral:piRNA from 1 species
UGAUUUCUGGAAUCUCAUGAGUGGA